UACGGAGGAUCCAAGCGUUAUCCGGAAUCAUUGGGUUUAAAGGGUCCGUAGGCGGUUUGGUAAGUCAGUGGUGAAAGCCCAUCGCUCAACGGUGGAACGGCCAUUGAUACUGCCAGACUUGAAUUAUUAGGAAGUAACUAGAAUAUGUAGUGUAGCGGUGAAAUGCUUAGAGAUUACAUGGAAUACCAAUUGCAAAGGCAGGUUACUACUAAUGGAUUGACGCUGAUGGACGAAAGCGUGGGUAGCGAACAGG
rnacentral:rRNA from 1 species